GUGGGGAAUUUUGGACAAUGGGCGCAAGCCUGAUCCAGCAAUGCCGCGUGCAGGAAGAAGGCCUUCGGGUUGUAAACUGCUUUUGUACGGAACGAAACGGUCCUGGUUAAUACCUGGGGCUAAUGACGGUACCGUAAGAAUAAGCACCGGCUAACUACGUGCCAGCAGCCGCGGUAAUACGUAGGGUGCGAGCGUUAAUCGGAAUUACUGGGCGUAAAGCGUGCGCAGGCGGUGCUGUAAGACAGGCGUGAAAUCCCCGGGCUCAACCUGGGAAUUGCGCUUGUGACUGCAGUGCUGGAGUACGGCAGAGGGGGAUGGAAUUCCGCGUGUAGCAGUGAAAUGCGUAGAUAUGCGGAGGAACACCGAUGGCGAAGGCAGCCCCCUGGGCCUGUACUGACGCUCAUGCACGAAAGCGUGGGGAGCAAACAGGAUUAGAUACCCCGGUAGUCC
rnacentral:rRNA from 1 species